AGAACCUUUAGGAGAGAAAGUCAUAAGGUACAGUUUUAUUGACUACUUGCCAAACAACACGGACCCAUGCACCGUAAGCUUGUUUUGCUCUUGGAGAGCUCCCUUGGUUACGACAGUCUUAAAGAUCUCCUGUUACAUAAAUUUGACAGUAAGUUAUCAACAUUACAACUAAGAAGCCUAACCAUUUGGAAUUUAAAACUCCUGUAUCAGUCUGCCCUGGAGUCAUUCUGGGAUGAGUCAAGUGGUCAGACACUGUCUCACUGGAUGAGAAACAUGAUCAUGUCUGAGUACCAGGAAUAACAAUUCUAAAAAUGGACAGAUCUAAUUCAUUCAAUAUUUCAGUGAUGGCCAAGUGACGCAUGCUGGGAGGGCUCAACCUCUACGCCUGGAAACUUGGCUCUUUGGGAAGAUGUGGCAAUGCAAAUUUGUUGAAGAUGAAGGAUAUAUCACUCUUCUGGAAUGAAUGGAAUGAAUGGAAUGUCUAGCCAGAGACCUUUCAGAAAUCUUAAUAAUUGUGGCAAUUUUUUUUUCUUAACUGUUCACUUCUCUUAACAAAAGAAAAGCCACUGCAAUGCCC
ensembl:lncRNA novel transcript